AGAGGGCGCUUUGGCUUUGGCAGCGGUCCAAGUUCCUUGGAACAGGACGUCACAGAGGGUGAGAAUCCCGUACGUGGUCGCUGGCUAUUGCCGUGUAAAGCCCCUUCGACGAGUCGAGUUGUUUGGGAAUGCAGCUCUAAAUGGGAGGUACAUUUCUUCUAAAGCUAAAUAUUGGCCAGAGACCGAUAGCGCACAAGUAGAGUGAUCGAAAGAUGAAAAGCACUUUGGAAAGAGAGUCAAACAGCACGUGAAAUUGUUGAAAGGGAAGCGCUUGCAGCCAGACUUGCUUACAGUUGCUCAUCCGGGUUUCUACCCGGUGCACUCUUCUGUAGGCAGGCCAGCAUCAGUUUGGGCGGUAGGAUAAAGGUCUCUGUCACGUACCUCCUUUCGGGGAGGCCUUAUAGGGGAGACGACAUACUACCAGCCUGGACUGAGGUCCGCGCAUCUGCUAGGAUGCUGGCGUAAUGGCUGUAAGCGGCCCGUCUUGAAA
rnacentral:rRNA from 1 species